rnacentral:rRNA from 1 species
AUACGUAGGGGGCGAGCGUUGUCCGGAAUGAUUGGGCGUAAAGGGCGCGUAGGCGGCCCGGUAAGUCUGGAGUGAAAGUCCUGCUUUUAAGGUGGGAAUUGCUUUGGAUACUGCUGGGCUUGAGUGCAGGAGAGGUAAGUGGAAUUCCCAGUGUAGCGGUGAAAUGCGUAGAGAUUGGGAGGAACACCAGUGGCGGAGGCGACUUACUGGACUGUAACUGACGCUGAGGCGCGAAAGUGUGGGGAGCAAACAGGAUUAGAUACCCUGGUAGUCCACACUGUAAACGAUGAAUGCUAGGUGUAGGGGGUAUCGACCCCUUCUGUGCCGCAGUAAACACAAUAAGCAUUCCGCCUGGGGAGUACGGCCGCAAGGUUUAAACUCAAAUGAAUUGACGGGG